rnacentral:rRNA from 1 species
GGUUAAGUCUGCCCAGUGAAAACUAAUUUUUUAACGGCCGCAGUACUUUGACUGUGCUAAGGUAGCAAAAUAAAUAGGCUUUUAAUUAAGGUCGAGAAUGAAUGGCACCAUGGGUGUAAACUGUCUCCUUUUAUGAUUGUUAAUUUGUUUAAUAGGUGAAAAGACCUAUAUUAAAAAUAAUAGACGAGAAGACCCUUAGAGUUUUUAACCAUAUUAGCUAUUAGAUUAGUUUAUUAAUUUUUUGUUGGGGCGACAUAGUAUCAAAUAGCAUACUUAAUAUUAUUGAUGUAACAAGUCUUUAUUACAAUUGAAUAUAACUACCUAAGGGAUAACAGCAUAAUUUUUAACAUAAAGAUUGUGACCUCGAUGUUGGACUAGGGACUAAAUGUAUUAGUCAUAUA